rnacentral:tRNA from 1 species
GGUUCCAUAGUGUAGCAGUUAGCACGUCUGCUUUACAUGCAGAAGGUCCUAGGUUCAAGCGCAGGGGAGCCA